UACGUAGGGUGCAAGCGUUGCCCGGAUUUAUUGGGCGUAAAGGGCGCGCAGGCGGCUACGCACGUCCGUUGUGAAAUCGCUCGGCUCAACUGGGCGGGGUCGGCGGAUACGGCGUAGCUGGAGCAAGCUAGGGGGCAAUGGAAUUCCCGGUGUAGUGGUGGAAUGCGUAGAUAUCGGGAGGAACACCAGUGGCGAAGGCGGUUGCCUGGAGCUUUGCUGACGCUGAGGCGCGAAAGCGUGGAGAGCGAUCCGG
rnacentral:rRNA from 1 species